AUUGAACGCUGGCGGCAGGCCUAACACAUGCAAGUCGAACGAGUGGCGGACGGGUGAGUAAUGUUUGGGAAUCUGGCUUAUGGAGGGGGAUAACUACGGGAAACUGUAGCUAAUACCGCGUACCAUAGGAUGAGCCCAAGUGGGAUUAGGUAGUUGGUGGGGUAAAGGCUCACCAAGCCGACGAUCUCUAGCUGGUCUGAGAGGAUGACCAGCCACACGGGGACUGAGACACGGCCCAGACUCCUACGGGAGGCAGCAGUGGGGAAUAUUGCGCAAUGGGGGCAACCCUGAUGCAGCCAUGCCGCGUGUAUGAAGAAGGCCUUCGGGUUGUAAAGUUCUUUCAGUAGGGAGGCGUUAACUGCAGAAGAAGCACCGGCUAACUCCGUGCCAGCAGCCGCGGUAAUUC
rnacentral:rRNA from 1 species